GGGGUACACGAGCGGCGAACGGGUGAGUAACACGUGGGUGAUCUACCCUGCACUUCGGGAUAAGCCUGGGAAACUGGGUCUAAUACCGGAUACGACCCUUGGAUGCAUGUCCUUGGGUGGAAAGGUUUACUGGUGCAGGAUGGGCCCGCGGCCUAUCAGCUUGUUGGUGGGGUAAUGGCCUACCAAGGCGACGACGGGUAGCCGACCUGAGAGGGUGACCGGCCACACUGGGACUGAGACACGGCCCAGACUCCUACGGGAGGCAGCAGUGGGGAAUAUUGCACAAUGGGCGAAAGCCUGAUGCAGCGACGCCGCGUGAGGGAUGAAGGCCUUCGGGUUGUAAACCUCUUUCAGCAGGGACGAAGCGAAAGUGACGGUACCUGCAGAAGAAGCACCGGCUAACUACGUGCCAGCAGCCGCGGUAAUACGUAGGGUGCGAGCGUUGUCCGGAAUUACUGGGCGUAAAGAGUUCGUAGGCGGUUUGUCGCGUCGUCUGUGAAACCCCAUCGCUCAACGAUGGGCCUGCAGGCGAUACGGGCAGACUUGAGUGUUUCAGGGGAGACUGGAAUUCCUGGUGUAGCGGUGAAAUGCGCAGAUAUCAGGAGGAACACCGGUGGCGAAGGCGGGUCUCUGGGAAACAACUGACGCUGAGGAACGAAAGCGUGGGUAGCAAACAGGAUUAGAUACCCUG
rnacentral:rRNA from 1 species